rnacentral:rRNA from 1 species
CGCGUAGGCGGCUUUGUAAGUCUGGAGUGAAAGUCCUCUUUUCAAGGGAGGAAUUGCUUUGGAAACUAUAGAGCUUGAGUGCAGGAGAGGUUAUCGGAAUUCCCGGUGUAGCGGUGAAAUGCGUAGAUAUCGGGAGGAACAUCGGUGGCGAAGGCGGGUAACUGGACUGCAACUGACGCUGAGGCGCGAAAGUGUGGGGAGCAAACAG